rnacentral:rRNA from 1 species
UGGGGAAUCUUGGACAAUGGGGGCAACCCUGAUCCAGCCAUGCCGCGUGAGUGAUGAAGGCCUUAGGGUCGUAAAGCUCUUUCGCCUGUGAAGAUAAUGACGGUAGCCGGAGAAGAAGCCCCGGCUAACUCCGUGCCAGCAGCCGCGGUAAUACGGAGGGGGCUAGCGUUGUUCGGAAUUACUGGGCGUAAAGCGCGCGUAGGCGGACUGAUCAGUCAGGGGUGAAAUCCCGGGGCUCAACCCCGGAACUGCCUUUGAUACUGUCAGUCUUGAGUCCGGAAGAGGCGAGUGGAAUACCGAGUGUAGAGGUGAAAUUCGUAGAUAUUAGGUGGAACACCAGUGGCGAAGGCGCCUAACUGGUCCGGUACUGACGCUGAGGAACGAAAAGCGUGGGGAGCAAACAGGAUUAGAUACCCUGGUAGUCCACGCCGUAAACGAUGAGUGCUAGAUGUUGGGAUUUUCGGAUUUCAGUGUCGCAGCUAACGCAUUAAGCACUCCGCCUGGGAGUACGGCCGCAAGGUUAAAACUCAAAGGAAUUGA